UAAACACAAACCGUGUUGGAACUUGGAAUAACUAAAACCCGGAGGCGGACACAGAAAACUCCGAAUCCAAACACUCCCAAUUCGAUACUAACAAGGAAGACGGGGACAGCCAAGUGGAGUGUGCAGCCAGCGAUUCUCAACAACGCACGAACAAACGCUGCCCUACAAGGACAACCCCGCACAACACAACACCUCCUUCCUUAUAUAGCUCUCUCAUCUCCCUCUCUCUCUACAUCUCCAGUGUGAUUCAUUCUUCAGGAGUCUCAGAUCUCUUUCUCUCGCUCUCUGCGUUCAUCGUAGUUUGGUUCCAGUUCUUGUUUUUGCUCCGUGUCGCUCGUCUUUCUCGUUUCUUGGUUCGAAUCGAUGGCGUCCGUUACUGGAACCUCCCUUUGCAUGAAGCUCGCUUCGUGCUCUUUGAAGCGGACCCAGGUAAUGAUUUGCCCUGAUCUCUUCUGGGUAUUUGUUGAUCCGCUGUUUCACGGCGAGAUUCGCGGCUCUCUGUGUCGAAAGCUUUGAUUUUUACUGGUUGUUGN
rnacentral:lncRNA from 1 species